rnacentral:rRNA from 1 species
GACGAACGCUGGCGGCGUGCUUAACACAUGCAAGUCGAACGGAAAGGCCCUGCUUUUGUGGGGUGCCCGAGUGGCGAACGGGUGAGCAACACGUGAGUAACCUGCCCUUGACUUUGGGAUAACUUCAGGAAACUGGGGCUAAUACCGGAUAGGAGCUCCUGCUGCAUGGUGGGGGUUGGAAAGUUUCGGCGGUUGGGGAUGGACUCGCGGCUUAUCAGCUUGUUGGUGGGGUAGUGGCUUACCAAGGCUUUGACGGGUAGCCGGCCUGAGAGGGUGACCGGCCACAUUGGGACUGAGAUACGGCCCAGACUCCUACGGGAGGCAGCAGUGGGGAAUAUUGCACAAUGGGCGGAAGCCUGAUGCAGCAACGCCGCGUGCGGGAUGACGGCCUUCGGGUUGUAAACCGCUUUCGCCUGUGACGAAGCGUGAGUGACGGUAAUGGGUAAAGAAGCACCGGCUAACUACGUGCCAGCAGCCGCGGUGAUACGUAGGGUGCGAGCGUUGUCCGGAUUUAUUGGGCGUAAAGGGCUCGUAGGUGGUUGAUCGCGUCGGAAGUGUAAUCUUGGGGCUUAACCCUGAGCGUGCUUUCGAUACGGGUUGACUUGAGGAAGGUAGGGGAGAAUGGAAUUCCUGGUGGAGCGGUGGAAUGCGCAGAUAUCAGGAGGAACACCAGUGGCGAAGGCGGUUCUCUGGGCCUUUCCUGACGCUGAGGAGCGAAAGCGUGGGGAGCGAACAGGCUUAGAUACCCUGGUAGUCCACGCUGUAAACGGUGGGUACUAGGUGUGGGGUCCAUUCCACGGGUUCCGUGCCGUAGCUAACGCUUUAAGUACCCCGCCUGGGGAGUACGGCCGCAAGGCUAAAACUCAAAGGAAUUGACGGGGCCCCGCACAAGCGGCGGAGCAUGCGGAUUAAUUCGAUGCAACGCGUAGAACCUUACCUGGGUUUGACAUGGAUCGGGAGCGCUCAGAGAUGGGUGUGCCUCUUUUGGGGUCGGUUCACAGGUGGUGCAUGGCUGUCGUCAGCUCGUGUCGUGAGAUGUUGGGUUAAGUCCCGCAACGAGCGCAACCCUUGUUCACUGUUGCCAGCACGUUAUGGUGGGGACUCAGUGGAGACCGCCGGGGUCAACUCGGAGGAAGGUGGGGAUGACGUCAAGUCAUCAUGCCCCUUAUGUCCAGGGCUUCACGCAUGCUACAAUGGCUGGUACAGAGAGUGGCGAGCCUGUGAGGGUGAGCGAAUCUCGGAAAGCCGGUCUCAGUUCGGAUUGGGGUCUGCAACUCGACCUCAUGAAGUCGGAGUCGCUAGUAAUCGCAGAUCAGCAACGCUGCGGUGAAUACGUUCCCGGGGCU